UUGUGUAACAUAAUAUGCGUUUAGUCUACAGAAAGUUCUAGAAUAAAUGGGGUUUAAUUUAUUAGAAACAUAACCUGUAACAUACCAUAAACCAACAGAACUCAAUCUAUCUUUUUAGUGUAGUAUUAGUAUUUCAUGUUCACCAUAUAAAUCAUCUGAAUCUAGAAAAAUAACACAACCGAAUAAGAGAAAGGAAGAUGGUGUUCUCAUGCAAAUUUGGUAGCUGGAAACAUCAAUCCAGUGGAUAUGAGCUAUCGGCUGACAGAAAGCUCAUGCCUGAUGAAUCCUGAGCAGUGAAGCCUUUGACCUGGAGUGUAUGAGGCUAACUGGCAGUUAUUGGCGACUCCACAUUGUCACAACAGGGUUUAUUACACUGAGAUGCAACCCAGAAUAAUAACUUAUUAAAUGUUCAGACACAGGCAGACAUUUUAAGGAACAGAGCUUCACUUUGCAGUGUCCAGCUGGCUGUGCAACAGAGAACUAUUCAGUGUGGGGUUCAGACAGCUACACAGAGGAUUCCUCUGUUUGUGCAGCUGCCAUCCACGUAGGUACAAUCCCUCGUUCUGGUGGAUCUGUGACUGUGGAAAAAAGAGCCAGCCAGGGCAGCUAUACAGGAACAACAAGAAAUGGAGUGACGAUCCAAAGGUACAACUGAGACCAUUUCUUGCUCCCACCAAGCCCGAGCAUUUGCUGAAAACCGAUUUAAGUAAGUAUUGCAACUCUCCUGCAAUGCAACAGCAGUAUGGUAAAUUGGUAGGAUUGUUACAGUCCACAGGCCUCAGAUACAGUCAUUUCAGUUUUUGUUGUACUUUUUUUCUCACUAGUAGAAAAGAGCCUCAAGCUAGCUCUUGCUCAGCAUUUUUUGCACUCAUUGACAGGGGCCUGUCUGUACAGGACUCUUCAGACAAAACACUCUGUAUGCAGGCUGACUCGAGCUUCACAGAUCCCAUAAUCUGCCUGUUAAAAGGCUUUGACAAGUAUUGGAGUUUUUAAGGCUCUGCUUAUUAAAAUGUUAUGUAUCUGUUAAUAUUGAGUCAGCAACAGCUCUUGCAGUACUUCAGUUUAUUCAGUUGUGUUCAAACUUCCUUCUCUUUUGGAAAAAGAAGCUGUAUCUGCUGUGUUAUUCAACCCGGCUUAAAAAAAUACCAAUUAAUAAGUACAAAAGAGGACAACGUUUUCUAUAAAAGACAGGAAAACAUCUCCAAAAUUGGAUUUUUUUCUGGCAAGGCAAAACAGCCUCACUGGCUGAGAUUACAUUCCUUGAUUUAUGCUGGCACCUGCUGGAAAAAAAUAUAAUUACACAGUAUUACCAUUUAUACAUGUGAAGCUCAAUAGGUUGAGUUCUACCAAAAAUAUGUCUUUCUUUGUCCAGCACUAAAAGCAUGUGCCUGAAGUGUGAAGAAAAUGCAUUUGAAAUGAAAGUGUUGACUGCACUAUGAAAUGGGGAGCACUUAAACGAACAGCAUCAUUUAAACAGGGUGCAAUAGUACAUCUAUUACCUGUUUCAUACCCUAUUAUGUGAGUUUUUAGAUGACUUAACAUAUUAUAGUCACAACUGUGGACUCAAAAACGUUGCAAAAAAGUGAAUGACUUACCUUCAAAUAUUACUGUGCAUUUAUCUUUAUGAACAGAGUAGUUUCUUUUUAAAUAUAGUAAUGUGGGUAUAUUUGGCAGUUACGGAACUGUAUUAUAAGGAAGCAUGUUUGUGGAUUAUACUUUAUUUUGUAUGCUUCUUCACUUGUGUUUUUCACAAACUGUGCAUCGCAGAGCAGCUCUGUGUGGGGAACAGAUGUCUACACUGAUGUAACAAUUCAACCUUUGAACUCAUAGAACAAUAAGGAUGAGAUGGUGGUAAAGAGACAUGUGCACAAAAUAAAUAAAGAAUGGUAGUAU